UACAUAUACCAAUGGACACACCCAUGUCUAAGCAUGUACACACAUUCACAAAGCACACACACAACAUGCAUGCCAUUCAUGUGCAUACAGAAACACACAUAUUCCAUGACACGUUCAUAGGCACAGGCCAUGUAGUAAUAGAACUCACAAGUGUGCCUGCAUGUGAGCACACACAUGUACCCUCACACUCAGGCCCUUGCAUGUAGACACACAUAUGCAUGCAUGAUUCAUACAGACAGGCUUCUCCAGAAGUGGGGUACCCAGCCGGGUCAGUACUGCCGAGAGGCUGAAGGAGCUACUGGACUUGUCCACAUGGAGUCAUCUAUGACUUUGUAGCAAGUGACUACAGGGAAAAAUGGGAGUGAAGAAGUGGAUCCAGGAGUGUAGAUACCCUCACGACGUCUGGUUUGAAGAGAUGCAGGGGCAGUAGUGGGUGCAUGUGAGCUCAGGAAGGGCUCAUUUCAUUUGCUGCUCCUUUAGGGAUGAAGCUGGUUUGGCUGCUGGUGGUGGCCAUGAGGGGUGUGGUGCUGAGGAGAGUGAGUGUAAAGCACUGUGAGCCACAGGAGGCCAGGCUUUCUCUACCGUGGCUGGAGGCCCAAAUGGUUGUAGUCACAGGCAGGCUGAUAGUGGUGGCUGGAUCUGAAGUCACAUCAGCCAAUGAUUUCAGCCUUUCACCUUCUCCAUGCAGUAGGGGGUGCUUAGCUGACCAUGGGGCACAGAGAAGAGGGACAGUUGGAUCAUCCAUGGCUGGGUUUUGACCAAGGGUAUGGGACCAAGAGGACAGG
rnacentral:lncRNA from 1 species